UGCCCCAUGGCUGAGUUGGUUACAGCGUUCGACUGUUAUCUCUCCGUGGACCUGAUCAUAAAUAUCGGAAGAUCGUGAGUUCGAGCCUCACUGGGGCAG
rnacentral:tRNA from 1 species